rnacentral:rRNA from 1 species
CAAUAGCGUAUAUUUAAGUUGUUGCAGUUAAAAAGCUCGUAGUUGGAUUUCGGGUGUGAACGACCGGUCCGUCUUUGAUGUGUACUGGUUGGUUGCGCCUUAUUGUCGAGGACGUGGUUCUAGCUUUCAUUAGCCGGGACACGGAGUCGGCAGCGUUACUUUGAGAAAAUUAGAGUGUUCAAAGCAGGCUAUCGCUCUGAAUACUACAGCAUGGAAUAACACGAUAGGACUCCGAGCCUAUUCUGUUGGUCUUCGGGACCGGAGUAAUGAUUAAGAGGGACAGUUGGGGGCAUUCGUAUUCCGAUGUCAGAGGUGAAAUUCUUGGAUUAUCGGAAGACGAGCAUCUGCGAAAGCAUUUGCCAAGGAUGUUUUCAUCAA